rnacentral:rRNA from 1 species
CCUACGGGAGGCAGCAGUGAGGAAUAUUGGUCAAUGGCGGAAGCCUGAACCAGCCAAGUAGCGUUCGGGAUGAAGGCCCUACGGGUCGUAAACCGCUUUUUCACGGGGAUAACACCCUCCACUUGUGGAGGUCUUCAGGUACCGUUCGACUAAGGGCCGGCUCAUUCCGUGCCAUCAGCCGCGGUAAUACGGAAGGCCCGAGCGUUAUCCGGAUUCAUUGGGCUUAAAGGGAGCGUAGGCGGGCUUUCAAGUCAGCUUUAAAAUCGCGCGGAUCAACCGCGCCCCGCCGUUGAAACUGGACGCCUUGAGUUCACAAGAGGCAGGCGGGAUUCGUGGUGUAGCGGGGAAAUGCAGAGAUAUAACGAGGAACCCCGAUUGCGAAGGCAGCCUGGCGGGGUGCGACUGACGCUGAGGCUCGAAGGUGCGGGUAUCAAACAGGAUUAGAUACCCCUGUAGUC